rnacentral:rRNA from 1 species
UACGUAGGGGGCAAGCGUUGUCCGGAAUCAUUGGGCGUAAAGCGCGUGUAGGCGGCUCGGUAAGUCCGCUCUGAAAGUCCAGGCUCAACCCUGGGAUGCGGGUGGAUACUGCCGGGCUCGAGUCCGGAAGAGGCGAGUGGAAUUCCCGGUGUAGCGGUGAAAUGCGCAGAUAUCGGGAGGAACACCAAUGGCGAAGGCAGCUCGCAGGGACGUGACUGACGCUGAGACGCGAAAGCGUGGGGAGCAAACAGG